rnacentral:sRNA from 1 species
CCCACACCCUCCUGUACGGCACGAACCCCCUCAACCGGCAGAAACUGGACAGCUCCCUGGCCUCCGUGUUCGUCCGGCUCCCCUGCGGUGGUGUUGGG